GAUUUGAGAAAGACGGUCAGAGGGUUUUAGAAAAUUUCAAGUAUGCCGUUGCAGCAAACAAGCUUUGAAUGGAAAAACCAGGGGUUUUCAAUUCAACACGGUGAAAUCAGUCUGAAGUGUACUUUGUAUGGCCGUCUCAUUUUUCCACAAACAUCCUCGAAGAGUUUCCAGCAUAAAUAGCCACAGCGAACUGAUUCCUGAACUUGCAGGGCAGUCUAUGCUGGCUGUGCACAGAGACUUUAAAGUGAGGCAAUUUCAACUCUGCAAGGACAGUCUGGAGCUUUUUGACUCGCAACCUUUAAUGCAAUGCAUAGUGGAAUGGCGCAUGAACCUGACCUGACACAAGCUGGCAGCCCUAUAGAGCCUCAAUGAGUUCAACAAGCAUGAAGAUUGAGGGAGGCCAUGGGAUUGUUACUUUCCAUCAUGAAUGGUUCAGUAAACCUACAACUCCAAUAUUCAUCUGUUGGCUCGGGAUGGGUUGGUAUACUGGUAUUUGAACUAUUUCUGCAGGGGUUUUGAGCCCCGAAGUAGACAUGGUGAUGGGAAAAAAAUUAUAUGGAAGGGAAAACUCAGCAAAAACUCCUGUGUUCCUCUGACAAAAUGUGGGAUCACUUAUUAAACAUUUGCUUUUCCACAAGAAAUUUUGCGUUUUCUCACAAAACAUUUGUGUUCUAUGGAGCCCUGCACAUAACAUGAAGGGAAAAAAAUCCCCACUUCCUGUCUACGUUAGUGCUGCAAUUAGUUAGUGCUCAUGAAAUAUUUGAGUUCUUUUACAAAAAUAUUGUUUCCUCGAUAGACUUUUCCUGAAACAAUAUAUAUAUAUAUUUGUAUUACCUCAUAUUUCUAUCAUAAGUUUCUCAGGAAAAUGCAUAUGUUUUUUUGAGUGGAUGCAAAAUUUCCUAUCUGUAAACAGCAUAGAAAAAAUAUGGAAAAAAAAAAAUCCCUUUAUGGGCUCUAUAGUUUCAGAAUAAAUAUCUGCAAAAAAAAUGUAUUUUAUUUAUUGCUUUCUUAUUAAUCAAAGACAAAAGAAUCAAGUGAUCUUUCUGCCCUCAGGUUGUUCCAAACCUGUUUGACUUAAUUUCUUGUUUAAACGGUUUUCAAAGUUUUUCCCAGUAUUCUUUCUUUCUCCUCACUUUUACUCUACUCUACUUCUCUCAGAGGCCUGUCUCCACUGAGUCUGUCCCAGCCCUGUAUCUCUUCAGCAGCGCUCUAGUUUCUGCCUCUUGCCCCCAAAUCUAGGACUCUCUUUUGUCAUCUGUCAACAGGCCAAGAACAAUUAAUGAAAUUCAAAGCAUCUAAGUCAUCUGUUGAAUUUAGUGACUUGACUUAACCGUGAAAAACUGCACUUUAAACAACUUUAAACACUUCUCUUAAGCUGCCUGAUCCCAAUAUCUUCUCAUGUUGCCCGACUCUGGUCAGUGUUAAAUACUCUUCAGUACCAAGGACAGCAGCACGACAGCUGCCCAAAACCUCAAGACAAGAUUUCGUUUUUUUCUAAAAAUGUAUUUUUUUUCAAAAAAUGGCUACAAUAAAUCCGCACAACCAAUUAAAAAUUUUAAUAAUAAACAACAAAUGUUAAGUCAGUGGACCUCUAUCAAAUCAUGGCAAAAGCCUACUUUUAAAAAAAACGCUAGUGUUAUUUUAUUAUCA